UGGAUCGGCCGGGUAUCGAACCCGUGGCAGGCGAGCAUUCUACCACUGAACCACCGAU
rnacentral:tRNA from 1 species